rnacentral:tRNA from 1 species
AACUAAUUGGCAGAUUAAUGCAUUAGAAUUAGAAUCUAAUUAAACUUAAAUCA